UACGUAGGGAGCAAGCGUUGUCCGGAAUCACUGGGCGUAAAGCGCGCGUAGGCGGCCCCGUAAGUCCGCUGUGAAAGUCAAAGGCUCAACCUUUGAAAGCCGGUGGAUACUGUGGGGCUAGAGUCCGGAAGAGGCGAGUGGAAUUCCUGGUGUAGCGGUGGAAUGCGCAGAUAUCAGGAGGAACACCAAUAGCGAAGGCAGCUCGCUGGGACGGUACUGACGCUAAGGCGCGAAAGCGUGGGGAGCGAACAGG
rnacentral:rRNA from 1 species